AUGGAUUUUCCCUCCUUCGAUGGGGAAAACCCACAAUUCUGGAAGACUAGAUGCAAAAAAUAUUUUGAUGUCUAUGGGGUCGUUCUAGACCUUUGGGUUCGAGUAGCCAUCCUCAACUUCACAGGCAAUGCAGCCAGAUGGUUGCAACUACAUGAAUCACAGAGUGCUUCCUUCACCUGGGAGUCACUCUGCACAGCUCUGUGUUCUAAGUUUGGUAGAGAGCAGUACCAAGCUCAUCUUCGGCAGUUUAACACUCUGCGUCAGUCGGGCACCGUAGUGGAAUACAUGACCAAGUUUGAGGAGUUGAUGCACCACAUCUUAGCUCAUAACCCUGCAUUUGAUCCCAUCUAUUUCAUUACCCAUUUCCUAGAUGGUCUUAAGAGUGAAAUACGCGCUACUGUUAUGCUUCAUCAGCCGAAAGAUUUGGAAUUUUCCUUCUCUCUGGCUAUGUUACAGGAGGAUCUUCUGGAGGCAAUGUCGCGUCGUGAAUACAGGUGCCAGGGUGGUCAGCAGCAUAGGGCACCAGCACAAUGCCCCCUUCUGGCGAUUGGUGCACCGCCCACGCGCCAAAUGUUGCUAGGACCACCAGCGGUAGCGAAGGAUCGCCGCGCACUGGACGCGGCCAACCCUCCUGAUCGUCAAGGCAGAGGAGACGAUUGA
rnacentral:rRNA from 1 species